AUCUAUUGAAAAUAAUGGAUAAAAUAUCUAAUUUGGAUUUCUAAUCCAAAGGUCGUGGGUUCGAAUCCCACCUGGGAUG